GCCACCAAGAUUGACUCACCUCAGCUCUCCAUGCCUAGUUGCCCAACUACCACGUGGAAUGAGCCUCGUAGUUACGUAACCAUUUCAAAAUGCUUUCAAUAAUUUCGUUCUUUGGGUCAAUGCCAAUAGCCUCGAACAUGAAGUAGAAGAUGUCGAUCUGCGAAUCUCCACCUUCAAAUUCAUCACCAGAGUGUAUGAAGGUGGGUCAACUUUGUUACUGAAGGUGUUGACUAGGAUAUUUUAGUAGAAGUGAGAGUUUACCGGGAAGUUCAUCCGAUUACCAACAAAGUCUUGAAUUAUGCAAUUGUUUUUUUCUUUAAUUUGUUGUUACUUUGAUUCUAGGAUAUAUCAACCAGCAACUAGUGGAACUUGGUAUUUGAUUUUGGGUUUUUUUCUUCAAUUUGUUGGUACCAUUUGUAUUUAAUGUUAUUUUACAAAUUAAAAAAGAAAAAGAAAAAAGUUCAAUCAAUCUCAUCAAGCCCAACACCCCUUUGAUGAACAAAACUUUAAAUGAACAUCAAGAUUUGAUUGAGAAUGCCCAAAUCGGUCAUGGCACAGCUGAAGAUUGAAGUUGAAGAUUUGGAAUGGAUAGUGAGGUUGAAGCGGCCAUGGCACUCUCAGGUUGAAUGUGAAGGUGGAGGUGUGUAUAUUGGCGGUGGCUAGAUUUGACUAUUGGUGAAGAUUUAAAAUUGUUUGGUUAUAUGGUUAAUGUGAGAUUUAUUUGGAUAAGUGGUGAAAUGUAUUAGUGGCUUAUGAGACCAUUCAUAUUGCUGGCUAGGUGAUGAUGUGUUUAUUUUCAUUUGUAAUUAUUUUAUUAUUGGUCCAAUUGGCAUUUUUAAUACUAUUAAAAUUUAUUAUUAUUAUUUAA